CCCAACAAGGUGCUGCAGUUUUUAAAUCCCAGCUCAUCACGCCACUCUUCGCCAAAUCAUCCGUUCAUCUACGUGGUUCACCUCUGCAUGCCUUCCUGUUUUCCGGCUUCACCCAGUUCACCGUCAUGUCUACAAGCUCCAGCUCAAGAACAAGCAUGCAGUCUGCCCAGCCUCUGUCAACAACCCUGUCUAAGUUAGCUGCUCUACUGCCUUUCCUGCUCUCCAGCCAUUCCAGCCCAUCCCCAAUCCAUCUUCACAAAAUUUUUACCAUAAAGAACCUUUUUGAACUGUGGAAACGUCGCUGUGUCUGAGUUAUGUUUUUGGGUCUUUAUUGAAUCUUACCCAAACAAUCUGGCACCAACAUGGACCCAGUACACUCAAACUAGGAUACAAUCAACAUCCAAAGAGCUAUGUCCAGUCAAGGAAUCCUUCUCGGUCAAUGUGAUAAACUCCUACAGACUCUUUCUGACAAUAACCAGGCUAUGGUUCUCCGCCAGCCAUACAAUCUCCCCAGAAGCCUCCACCUGCUUCAUUGCCUAUCCCUCUCAUGCCAAGAGAUUCCUACACUACAGACAACCCUUCGCUAGGCUAGAUAAUUGCCUGUGAGAACAUCGCCGAGAAAGAGCUGGCCGUUCUCCACUGCCUCCAGUUUCCCAUUCUCCAACACCAUUUCUUGCGAGGAUGAGUCUCUUCUUCCCUGAGCUCAACCCCUAGGUGUCCCACACUAACAGGAAGCCCUAAGGAGGAACCCAUGCAGUUAGGCCGAGCACUUAUUUCUCUGGCUGAGAGACAGUGCAGAAUGAGAGCGGGUGAGUUUCUGUACGGCCAAAAGACAGGUCUCACCAGUCAAUGCAGGUAUAAUGGUGAGUCAGACUGUUCCUGCGGCCCCUUCUAAACCCAGACUCCAAAUACAGGCAACUCUUUGUUCUAAUCAGCUCUCCCUUCCUCUCCUGGCCCUAGUUGAUUCUGGUGCAGAGGAUAAUUUUCUGGACAAAGAAUUGGCACUACAAUCUAGCAUUCCCCUUGAGACUUGAGAAGUCUCAUCUCACAGCUAAUGCCUUGGACCGAUGACUUCUUGUUCAAAUAACCCCUCAAACUGUUCCCGUCACUUUGAUUUUGUUUGUCAACCAAUGUGAAAAGAUUCAGUUUAACAUAGUCACCGCUCCCUGGUUUAUUUCUGUGUGAAAUUGAAGACGUGUCGUUUCAUAAAUUAUCUUGAUGGUAGAUCUUCCACCAUUAUCACUAGGC